rnacentral:rRNA from 1 species
AAAUCUCUGGGCUUAACCUAGGGUUGACGAAUGAUACUGAUGAACUCGAGUAUGGGAGAGGGUAGUGGAAUUUCCGGUGUAGCGGUGAAAUGCGUAGAGAUCGGAAGGAACACCAGUUGCGAAGGCGGCUACCUGGCCUGUUACUGACACUGAGGCACGAAAGCGUGGGGAGCAAACAGGAUUAGAUACCCUGGUAGUCCACGCUGUAAACGAUGUCAACUGGCUGUUUCUCAUAUAAAGAUGAGUGGUGGCGUAGCUAACGCGAUAAGUUGACCGCCUGGGGAGUACGGUCGCAAGAUUAAAACUCAAAGGAAUUGACGGGGCCCGCACAGCGUGGAGCAUGUGGUUUAAUUCGUGC